GGGGCAACCCUGACCGAGCAACGCCGCGUGAGUGAAGAAGGUUUUCGGAUCGUAAAGCUCUGUUGUAAGUCAAGAACGGGUGUGAGAGUGGAAAGUUCACACUGUGACGGUAGCUUACCAGAAAGGGACGGCUAACUACGUGCCAGCAGCCGCGGUAAUAC
rnacentral:rRNA from 1 species